ACAUGUGAUGUUGGAGAGGUGUGUCGUCAGGUAGUACACAGGCUUUCACCAAUAUUUGGAGGAGCCAUCACUUCUUAUCAAAGACAUUGUUUUCCAAACUCAACAUGUACUGAAAGCGAUGAAUGUGAAAGUCCAUUAGGUGGAAGCUGUAUCAGAUGUUGUGACAGCAAUCUUUGCAAUAAUGGAGGUAUCGAUAAUCCCAUUACAGAUAUAACACCAACAACAUCCUCAAUCUCUUGUUACGUUUGUACUGCGAUCAGUAAAGAAAACUGUGAAGUAGAUCAAACAGUUGAAACAUGUGAUGUUGGAGAGGUGUGUCGUCAGGUAGUACACAGGCUUUCACCAGUAUUUGGAGGAGCCAUCACUUCUUAUCAAAGACAUUGUUUUCCAAACUCAACAUGUACUGAAAGCGAUGAAUGUGAAAGUCCAUUAGGUGGAAGCUGUAUCAGAUGUUGUGACAGCAAUCUUUGCAAUAAUGGAGGUAUCGAUAAUCCCAUCACAGGUAAUACUAAAUGAACAUUUCAUAAUUUUCAUAAUUAAUAGAAUUUUAGUUUUGUGUAAUUUUACCUAAUUUUUAUGUAAGUGCAUGGUUGAUAUUGUAGCAGUUGGCAGAUAGUAUAUAAAUCGUAAAAUAUUUAGUCAGUUCACUUACUAGUAAACAAGCAAUUAUCAAGUUUAGAGACUAAACAGGUAGCACAGCCAUUCUGGACAUCAGAAGUUGUGACCAGUAAACAGCAGUUUCGAGAUUGAUCGAAAUAUACCAAUCGGAGAGAAGAUUUGAAAGCGGACAUGAACAGUAGCCUUCCAUUCAAUCGGCAGUUAGUUUUGGUGGUUCAUUGUCGACAUUUGAGAAAGGAUUAUGCCUUCACUUACCACAGCGAAGUCUAGCGACAUUCUCAGUUGAACGUGGUCUUUCAAAGCUAGAGAAGUACGUGCCGUAAUUUUCGCUAACAGCUACCAAUUUUGAUUGGGAGGCGGCAUCCUUCAAUGUUGAUGCUGACGCUAACGCUGAAGUACGAUUUAUAGCGUCAACGUCAAUAGCAGAAUCAGUGAUGUUGAUGUCAAGGCCAUCGUCGAGGACAACGUCAAUAUCAAAGAUACCGUCAACAGAAGAGCGUUGAUGAAGAAGCGUAAUCCAGCUAAAAACAAAAUUGUCUGUAGUUUCUUCAUUUUAACAAUAUGUACGAAGCUCAGCUCGGGAUCGAGGCUUUUCAAUUUCAAACUACUACAGAAAACAACGAAAUCUCAACAUGCUAUUGAGUACUCAGACAAAGAUCACUUUAGGCUGUUCAACUGAAAGGAAUGACCACCGAUGUUUAAUCAACUGGGCAAGAACCUUAUGGGAAAUAAAGUAAAAAGCAGAUAACUGACAAGCACUGCUACUGAACGUGAAAAGGAAGCAGAGAACAAACAGUUGCUUGUGAACUUUUCCAAAUGAUUACUGUAAUACAUUAGAACGUCAAUGAAAGGUGUCGUGAUUAGAUCAGAUAAUUGGAAAUAAAACCCUGAUGCAGUUCAAUGUCUGCUUACCGUUGAUUUGCUUUGGUGUUUUCAAGGGUUUUUAUGGGUUUCACGGAUUGUUGAAUACAUGUACUG